GACGAACGCUGGCGGCGUGCCUAAUACAUGCCAGUUGAGCGCUGAAGGUUGGUACUUGUACCAACUGGAUGAGCAGCGAACGGGUGAGUAACGCGUGGGUAAUCUGCCUUUGAGCGGGGGACAACAUUUGGAAACGAAUGCUAAUACCGCAUAAAAACUUUAAACACAAGUUUUAAGUUUGAAAGAUGCAAUUGCAUCACUCAAAGAUGAUCCCGCGUUGUAUUAGCUAGUUGGUGAGGUAAAGGCUCACCAAGGCGAUGAUACAUAGCCGACCUGAGAGGGUGAGCGGCCACAUUGGGACUGGGACACGGCCCAAACCCCUACGGGAGGCAGCAGUAGGGAAUCUUCGGCAAUGGACGAGAGUCUGACCGAGCAACGCCGCGUGAGUGAAGAAGGGUUUCGGAUCGUAAAACUCUGUUGGUAGAGAAGAACGUUGGUGAGAGUGGAAAGCUCAUCAAGUGACGGUAACUACACAGAAAGGGACGGCUAACUACGUG
rnacentral:rRNA from 1 species